rnacentral:rRNA from 1 species
GCGGCGAGCGAAGCGGGAAGAGCUCAAAUUUAUAAUCUGGCACCUUCGGUGUCCGAGUUGUAAUCUCUAGAAGUGUUUUCCGCGUUGGACCGCACACAAGUCUGUUGGAAUACAGCGGCAUAGUGGUGAAACCCCCGUAUAUGGUGCGGACGCCCAGCGCUUUGUGAUACACUUUCAAUGAGUCGAGUUGUUUGGGAAUGCAGCUCAAAUUGGGUGGUAAAUUCCAUCUAAAGCUAAAUAUUGGCGAGAGACCGAUAGCGAACAAGUACCGUGAGGGAAAGAUGAAAAGCACUUUGGAAAGAGAGUUAACAGUACGUGAAAUUGUUGGAAGGGAAACGCUUGAAGUCAGACUUGCUUGCCGGAGCUUGCUUCGGUUUGCAGGCCAGCAUCAGUUUUCCGGGGUGGAUAAUGACGGUUUGAAGGUAGCAGUCUCGGCUGUGUUAUAGCUUUCCGUUGGAUACAUCCUGGGGGACUGAGGAACGCAGCGUGCUUUUUGCGAAAGACUCGUCUUUUUCACGCUUAGGAUGCUGGUGGAAUGGCUUUAAACGACCCGU